rnacentral:rRNA from 1 species
UACGUAGGGUGCGAGCGUUGUCCGGAAUUAUUGGGCGUAAAGAGCUCGUAGGCGGUCUGUCGCGUCGAUCGUGAAAACUUGGGGCUUAACCCUGAGCUUGCGGUCGAUACGGGCAUGACUGGAGUUCGGCAGGGGAGACUGGAAUUCCUGGUGUAGCGGUGAAAUGCGCAGAUAUCAGGAGGAACACCAAUUGCGAAGGCAGCUCGCUGGGACGUGACUGACGCUGAGACGCGAAAGCGUGGGGAGCGAACAGG